AUUACCACGGCUAGUUUUACUAACAAUCUCAUAAUAUAAUAAUCUUAGGAUAUUGUGGUAAAACGUUAUGAUACUCUUAUACAGAAGUAUCGUUCUUAUUUUACUCGUUACUAAAGCAGCUCAUAAUUGAAUUCGGGAACGCUUCUCGUUAACAAGCAUAAUAUUGUUUUUCUGACAAUAGACGACAAUGAAUCUUUAUCAUAAUACAUACAUAUUCUCAGAUAAAAGAGCAUGUAUUCGGCACCGUGCUUAACGUAAGUUAACAUAACGCAAAAAAAUCUUUGGC